CAAGUCGAACGAUUAAGACUUCCUUCGGGAAGUGCAUAAAGUGGCGCACGGGUGAGUAACACGUAAGUAAUCUACCUUCGAGUGGGGAAUAACGUCCGGAAACGGACGCUAAUACCGCAUAAUGCAGCGGCAUCGAAAGAUGACAGUUGUUAAAGGAGCAAUUCGCUUGAAGAGGAGCUUGCGGCAGAUUAGCUAGUUGGUAAGGUAAUGGCUUACCAAGGCUUCGAUCUGUAUCCGGUCUAAGAGGACGGUCGGACACACUGACACUGAAUAACGGGUCAGACUCCUACGGGAGGCAGCAGUCGGGAAUUUUGGGCAAUGGGCGAAAGCCUGACCCAGCAACGCCGCGUGAAGGAUGAAGUAUUUCGGUAUGUAAACUUCGAAAGAAUGGGAAGAACUCAAUGACGGUACCAUUUAUAAGCUCCGGCUAACUACGUGCCAGCAGCCGCGGUAAUACGUAGGGAGCAAGCGUUGUUCGGAUUUACUGGGCGUAAAGGGCGCGUAGGCGGCAAAUUAAGUCAGCUGUGAAAUCUCCGAGCUUAACUCGGAACUGUCAGCUGAUACUGAUCUGCUAGAGUGCGGAAGGGGCAAUCGGAAUUCUUGGUGUAGCGGUGAAAUGCGUAGAUAUCAAGAGGAACACCUGAGGUGAAGACGGGUUGCUGGGCCGACACUGACGCUGAGUGCGCGAAAGCCAGGGGAGCAAACGGGAUUAGAUACCCCGGUAGUCCUGGCCUUAAACGAUGAAUACUUGGUGUCUGGAGUCUCUAUAGCUCCGGGUGCCGUCGCUAACGUUUUUAGUAUUCCGCCUGGGGAGUACGCACGCAAGUGUGAAACUCAAAGGAAUUGACGGGGACCC
rnacentral:rRNA from 1 species